rnacentral:misc_RNA from 1 species
UCUCCGUUGGUGAACCAGCGGAGGGAUCAUUACAGAGUUAUCUAACUCCCAAACCCAUGUGAACUUACCUUUGUUGCCUCGGCAGUAGUUGCUGGGCGAGCCUACCCGGGAACGAGCUACCCUGUAGCUACCCUGUAACGGCCUACCCUGUAACGUCCUGCCGGUGGACCUUUAAACUCUUGUUAUUUUAUAGUAAUCUGAGCGUCUUAUUUUAAUAAGUCAAAACUUUCAACAACGGAUCUCUUGGUUCUGGCAUCGAUGAAGAACGCAGC